CCUACGGGGGGCAGCAGUGGGGAAUAUUGGACAAUGGGGGGAACCCUGAUCCAGCGACGCCGCGUGAGUGAAGAAGUAUUUCGGUAUGUAAAGCUCUAUCAGCAGGGAAGAAAGAAAUGACGGUACCUGACUAAGAAGCCCCGGCUAACUACGUGCCAGCAGCCGCGGUAAUACGUAGGGGGCAAGCGUUAUCCGGAUUUACUGGGUGUAAAGGGAGCGUAGACGGCGAUGCAAGUCUGAAGUGAAAGGCGGGGGCCCAACCUCCGGACUGCUUUGGAAACUGUAUGGCUGGAGUGCAGGAGAGGUAAGUGGAAUUCCUAGUGUAGCGGUGAAAUGCGUAGAGAUUAGGAGGAACACCAGUGGCGAAGGCGGCUUACUGGACUGUAACUGACGUUGAGGCUCGAAAGCGUGGGGAGCAAACAGGAUUAGAUACCCUGGUAGUC
rnacentral:rRNA from 1 species